GAUGAACGCUAGCUACAGGCUUAACACAUGCAAGUCGAGGGGAAACGACAUCGAAAGCUUGCUUUUGAUGGGCGUCGACCGGCGCACGGGUGAGUAACGCGUAUCCAACCUGCCCACCACUUGGGGAUAACCUUGCGAAAGUAAGACUAAUACCCAAUGACGUCUCUAGAAGACAUCUGAAAGAGAUUAAAGAUUUAUCGGUGAUGGAUGGGGAUGCGUCUGAUUAGCUUGUUGGCGGGGUAACGGCCCACCAAGGCGACGAUCAGUAGGGGUUCUGAGAGGAAGGUCCCCCACAUUGGAACUGAGACACGGUCCAAACGCCUACGGGAGGCAGCAGUGAGGAAUAGUGGUCAAUGGACGAGAGUCUGAACCAGCCAAGUAGCGUGCAGGAUGACGGCCCUAUGGGUUGUAAACUGCUUUUAUAAGGGAAUAAAGUGAGUCUCGUGAGACUUUUUGCAUGUACCUUAUGAAUAAGGACCGGCUAAUUCCGUG
rnacentral:rRNA from 1 species